GGGCAUAGUGGUUAUAGCGUCCGUCUCGGAUACUGGAGGUCGUGGGUUCAACCCCCGGACGAGUCA